rnacentral:rRNA from 1 species
UACGUAGGGGGCAAGCGUUGUCCGGAAUCAUUGGGCGUAAAGAGCGCGUAGGCGGUCCGGUAAGUCGGUUGUGAAAACUGGGGGCUCAACCCUCAGAGGCCGACCGAUACUGCUGGGCUAGAGUCCGGAAGAGGCGAGUGGAAUCCUGGUGUAGCGGUGAAAUGCGCAGAUAUCAGGAGGAACACCGAUUGCGAAGGCAGCUCGCUGGAACGUUACUGACGCUGAGACGCGAAAGCGUGGGAGCAACAGG